rnacentral:rRNA from 1 species
ACGGAAGGUAGCAGUGGGGAAUAUUGGGCAAUGGGCGAAAGCCUGACCCAGCGACGCCGCGUGAGGGAAGAAGGUCUUCGGAUUGUAAACCUUAGUUAUCGGGGAAGAAGAAAGUGACGGUACCCGAAGAGAAAGCCACGGCUAACUACGUGCCAGCAGCCGCGGUAAUACGUAGGUGGCGAGCGUUAUCCGGAUUUACUGGGUGUAAAGGGUGUGUAGGCGGGACUGCAAGUCAGAUGUGAAAACUAUGGGCUCAACUCAUAGCCUGCAUUUGAAACUGUGGUUCUUGAGUGUCGGAGAGGUAAAUGGAAUUCCCGGUGUAGCGGUGAAAUGCGUAGAGAUCGGGAGGAACACCAGUGGCGAAGGCGAUCUACUGGACGACAACUGACGCUGAGACACGAAAGCGUGGGGAGCAAACAGGAUUAGAUACCCUGGUA